rnacentral:rRNA from 1 species
UACGUAGGGUCCGAGCGUUGUCCGGAAUUAUUGGGCGUAAAGGGCUCGUAGGCGGUUCGUCACGUCGGGAGUGAAAACUCGGAGCUUAACUCCGAGCCUGCUUCCGAUACGGGCAGACUAGAGGUAGGCAGGGGAGAGCGGAACUCCUGGUGUAGCGGUGGAAAUGCGCAGAUAUCAGGAAGAACACCCCGUGGCGAAGGCGGAUCUCUGGGGCCCAUUACUGACGCUGAGGAGCGAAAGCGUGGGGAGCGAACAGG